UAACCUGUUAUUAGCCACAUUUAGUAAAAGUUUAGGGCAUAAUUCCUUUCCUCCAAAUAUGUGUGUUCUGUUAUACUAACAUUGUCCCUUUCCUUUUUUAUUUUUAACUUACAGCAAAGCAGAAUAAUACACAAAGACAAGAUGAAGCAGAUGUUUCAGGCCUACAUUACAAUUCAGACAGAAAUUUAAAUUAGCUGAAGAAAUCAGAACAAAAUGCUUUUUAAGUGCUUCUGUGCUAUCAGCUACUCAAGGGAUAGUUACAGGCAAUAUGCCUUUCAGCGCCUGUUGCUUCCCUUACAGCCUUUGAUGUGAUCUUAUUAAGAGAGAUUCCCUUUAGGAAUGUGCUCAGAGCACUAAGCCUUGGGAGCUUGGUGUCCCAGAGACCAGAUUCCAAACUUGAUUGAGAUAGUUGUGUAAAUAGGACUGUUGACACAUAGAGAACAUCAGGAUAUAUCUCAAAGUUGUGCUGUAUGUGUCAUUUGUGCUUUAUAUUCCAAUAAAAGAUUUACAUUUCUGAAUUAGUUUUUCUUCAGGCCGAUUCCAAAAUUAGAUGUAGAGAAUGUCCAAACUAACUUCAGUAAAAAGGAUGCCAGUUGGAACACUUUUCUAGUGAAAAAAUGGGUUUGAAGAGAACAAAUAUUUUCAUAGAAAGUGUUUGCUUUCCUCCAAACGUGACCCCCUCUCGUAAACCCCAAAAGCUUAAAAGCAAAAGAGAUUUGAUUGUUGUCAAUUUUGGGAUUGUUCCCCUCCCAUUCCCUGAGCAUUUUCCAAUGGAAAAUAUUCAGGGUUUGGGUUUUUAGCCCUUUGCUAAAAUGUCAACAUUUUCCAAAGGGUGAAGGAGGGAAAAAGAGAAGAAAAGAAAAACAUGUUCUGACCAGCUCCUGUCAGAGCCAAAUGGCUCAAUCCUGGAUUUGGUCAGGCAAGUAUGCUGGAGGGGAGAAAAUGGGAGUGCCUUGGUUCCAAGCACAGUCUGGCUGGGCUGAGGACUGUGUAUCACGAUCCAUUUGUAUGAGUCAUUCCAGUCGACAUUUCACCAGGGGAGUGUGUGUAGUGGCUUUUAAGCACUUCAGGUCAAUAUGUUAGUUGCAAACACUGCCUUGCUGCUUACUACGGCCACUCUGGCUCUCUGCGUGCGUGUGGGAUGCACACAGGUACAUUCUGUUCGAGUUCAGAUCCUCCAAUAUUUCCAUGACGUCUCUAACUCACAGAGACAACAAUAACACCUGGCACCUAUCCAGACCUGUGAAUUCAGCUCUCUGCCAUUCAUAAAAGAGGAGAAAGAAGAAAAAAUUAGCCUUCAAAAGCCCCAGCCAGCUAUGGAAUAGGGAGAGGCGCUGGCAGAGCUGACAUAGAGGCUGCUAAACUGCACACGCAUGUGUGUAUGCCAUCCUGCUUCUGGUGGGAAAGGAUUGGCUUUGUUUCCCCAGUGUGCUGCUGACCCCCAGCUGUCUCCUUGGUCUCCAGAAAGCUGUCCUGCUGCACUUGGGCACCUUCAGAUCUGAUGAAGACCAGGGCCAUCUUUGCUUCUGCCUCUCCAAGGUGUCUCCCAGAGCUGCAACGGGAGAGCUGGGGUACGGUUGCACACCCAGAUUAGGUCUUUGUCCCCCUCUAGUGACUUGACUGAAAAAGAAGUUUUCUGAGGGCUACUCCCUCCAAGCAAGACUGUCAUUACUUUAGGCCAGGAUGUUGAAUGGUUUCCUUUCCGAAGGCUAGCAGGACAUCUAAGCACCACUGGGAGGUCAUGUAGUUAUACGCACUAAGACAUUAUCCAUUACCAAUGUAAACAGUAAUUAGGAGCUUGACUUUCUGCUCUAACAGGCUGUGUGUGCCUGCUUCCCUCCCAUGGAGGCCGGCGGUCACAGACUUCAAAUGACGUCCUGUGCUCGGCCAUCCAGGAGACCCGGCCAGGUCCACGGUCACCGUGCAAGAGCUCAAGCAGUGGGGCUCCCGUGCCCAAACACUUGCUGAGUCACAGCCUAGUCACCCAUGCGCUUCGCGAGUCGCGUCAGCCAUCUGUCACCAGCACAUCCUCCUCGCCGCUCUGUGACUCCACAGGGAAAACAACAGGAGGCAGAUUGCAUUCUGCUGAGAAGCCAGGCUCUCGUGCAUCGUGGCGCUGAGUAACCCCUGGCUUGCCUUCUAAGCAGCGGUAAAGCCUUUGGCUCCUCUUUGUUUGGCCCUUUGUCAGGGAAGAAAGUGACAUUCAGGUUCAAACGCUGAACGCUUUGGCUGACUAAUGAGUGACUGCAAACAAAGCAGACUCAGGCAAGACAUUGAUAGUAUUUUGCAAAACCUCCCGGCUACAUACAAGUCAUCUACGCCGGCCUCCACGCUGGCGCUCGCCUCAAACCAGAGUGUUCAAAAAACCAGCAGCUAAACACAGGGAGCCCUGCUUGCUACGGCCUCGUCCCCUUCCGUGUCAGCUAAAAGGUGCGAAAGCGGAGUCUUGGGGUGCCCCCAUCCCAGUUAACCUCCCUCCCGUGCUCUCUCUCGGUUCUGCCGUGCUGGGGGCGCGUGUGGGGGCCCGGCCCUGAGGGCAGGCCGCAUGUCGUGCCACGUUCCUCCAUCGCCGACCAGCUGAAGUCCUGCCCAGUUAUUUUUACCAGAUUGCCCAUCACCGGCCAGUGUGUUCACCACGGCCGCUCGUUCCUGCUUGACUCGAUGCCAGGACGCAAUCUCAGCCGAGCAGGAGUGGCAGCGGGGCCCUUCGCGCCCUUCCCUUCUCCCAGGCUUUCAGCUGGAGUGAGUCAUUUCGUGCAAAGGAAGCACAGUCAUCCAGGCUUAGGUCCUCAGAGGUGCUUCCCUACUUAACUCCGGAUGACACUUCUCGGCCCCGAGUGCUCCCAGGAAUGCCAGAGAGCUGACGAUUAGCGUUGCAUUUCUUCCGUCCGAGCCCCCGUCCUGCCUGUGGGACUGGGGGAUGAGGAGGAAACGCUCUGAAUCCUCACCAUCCCCUGGGGUGGGGUUGCUUUGGGGGUCUCGUCCUAACUGGAGGCUCUGCGAAGCAUCUGUUGGAGUUGUUGCGAUAGGAUAUCACAGAAUAAAUGCCUUCUGCUUGAAGAAUA